GACGAACGCUGGCGGCGUGCUUAACACAUGCAAGUGGAGCGACGAACCAGGGCUUGCCCUGGGGCAGAGCCGCGAACGGGUGAGUAACACGUGGGUAACGUGCCCCGAUGAUCGGGACAACCCGGGGAAACCCGGGCUAAUACCGAAUGUGCUCCCCUCACACCAGUGAGGGAUGGAAAGGAAGCUUCGGCCUCCGCAUCGGGAUCGGCCCGCGGCCCAUUAGCUUGUUGGUGAGGUAACGGCUCACCAAGGCUGCGAUGGGUAGCUGGUCUGAGAGGACGAUCAGCCACACUGGGACUGAGACACGGCCCAGACUCCUACGGGAGGCAGCAGUGGGGAAUCUUGCGCAAUGCGCGAAAGCGUGACGCAGCAACGCCGCGUGGGGGAAGACGCCUGGUGU
rnacentral:rRNA from 1 species